rnacentral:ncRNA from 1 species
CAAUAAGCAAAAUAAGGGCGUAUGGGGGAUGCCUUGGCUCUCAGAGGCGAUGAAAGGCGUGAUAAGCUGCGAAAAGCUACGGGGACGGGCACACACCGAUUGAUCCGUAGAUACCUGAAUGGGGCAACCCACUAUGUUGAAGACAUAGUACACCGAUAGGUGGGCAAACCCGCUGAACUGAAACAUCUAAGUAGGCGGAGGAGAAGAAAACAAAAGUGAUUCCGUAAGUAGUGGCGAGCGAACGCGGAUUAGCCCAAACCAAUGUUGUUACGGCAAGAUUGGGGUUGUAGGACCACGACAUUUUAUGCACAAGGAACUAGAAGUGACUGGAAAGUUAUGCCAUAGAGAGUGAUAGCCUCGUAUAGGUAACAAGUGUAAUAGAUAGUGGUAUCCUGAGUAGGGCGGGGCACGUGAAACCCUGUCUGAAUUUGGCGGGACCAUCCGCUAAGGCUAAAUACUCCUGAGAGACCGAUAGUGAACCAGUACCGUGAGGGAAAGGUGAAAAGAACCGUGAAUAACGGAGUGAAAUAGAUCCUGAAACCAUACGCUUACAAGCGGUCGGAGCCCUUUCGUGGGGUGACGGCGUGCCUUUUGCAUAAUGAGCCUACGAGUUAACGUUGCUGGCAAGGAUAAGUGGUUAAGCCACGGAUCCGUAGCGAAAGCGAGUCUGAAUAGGGCGCUUUAGUCAGUAGUGUUAGACGCGAAACCGUGUGAUCUACCCAUGGGCAGGAUGAAGCGCUGGUAACACAGUGUGGAGGUCCGAACCGGUUGACGUUGAAAAGUCUUCGGAUGACCUGUGGGUAGGGGUGAAAGAAAAAACCCCAAAUAUAUGCUAAGUUGAAAGAACGAGGUUUGUCUGCCCAGACAGCUAGGAUGUUGGCUUGGAAGCAGCCAUUCAUUUAAAGAGUGCGUAACAGCUCACUAGUCGAGCGGACGAGCAUGGAUAAUAAUCGGGCAUAAGCAUAUUACCGAAGCUAUGGAUUUACAGUCUGACUGUAAGUGGUAGGGGAGCAUUCUAACAGGGUAGA